CAGUUUCUGUAAAAAGAUCACUACCUUUCUCAGAUACAGAUGGUACAGUGGUGAUGACUACUCAAACCGAGGUGAAACCAGUGGAGUAUGGUGCCAAAGAGUCCAACUUAGCUCCAGAAUGUAACACAGAGCCCUUGCUAAAGUCCAUUGUUGAACCCAAAGCUUCCAAAUCUAAAAUGCACCUGUGUGCAUAUUUAAACCACAUACAUAUAUAUAAACACCUAAACUCAACCUUGUGUUUUCUCUAAUAAGCACCAAAUUAAUCAUGAAGCUUUUUUGAUAGUAUUAAUACAGAUAUCUUUAAAUAACAAACAUUUU
rnacentral:lncRNA from 1 species